GACGAACGCUGGCGGCGUGCUCAACACAUGCAAGUCGAACGAUGAACCCGGAGCUUGCUCCGGUGGAUUAGUGGCGAACGGGUGAGUAACACGUGAGUAACCUGCCCUUGACUCUGGGAUAACUGCGGGAAACUGUAGCUAAUACCGGAUACGACCCUCGGCGGCAUCGCCAGGGGGUGGAAAGAAUUUCGGUCAAGGAUGGACUCGCGGCCUAUCAGCCAGUUGGUGAGGUAACGGCUCACCAAGGCGACGACGGGUAGCCGGCCUGAGAGGGUGGCCGGCCACACUGGGACUGAGACACGGCCCAGACUCCUACGGGAGGCAGCAGUGGGGAAUAUUGCACAAUGGGCGCAAGCCUGAUGCAGCAACGCCGCGUGAGGGAUGACGGCCUUCGGGUUGUAAACCUCUUUUAGUAGGGAAGAAGCGAAAGUGACGGUACCUGCAGAAAAAGCACCGGCUAACUACGUGCCAGCCGCCGCAGUAA
rnacentral:rRNA from 1 species